ensembl:lincRNA Gm36669 predicted gene, 36669
UUAGAACGCAGAGCCCAGGCAUGACAAUGGACUGUGCAGUUGAUUGGGUACUGAGGUCUAAGACCCACAAAACUCUGCUAUUCCAUUAAAACAAAGAAUUAGAAAAAUUAUGAAAAACAGCCUGAAGCUGCUUUCUUUGUUCUUAACCAACUGCGCUUCUGUUGAGAAUUUCAAAUGGAAUUUUUUCCUAUGUCAGGGUUUUCACAGCUUGCCUUCCAUGACUUGUUUAUGCCUUCAAAAUCAGUUACAGCUGGGGAUACCCAUACAACACCAACUCAGCUGCCAGCGGGGCUCGCAGUCUUGGCUCCCUCUAAACUACAGCUUCUGGAUGCUGACCCUGGGAAAGUAGUCCCAGAAGAUUUCACAUCUAUGAUGCCAUUCUCUUCUCACCUAGUCCUGAUUCUUCACCCCAAGAUGACCAGCAUAAUUUGUUUCUUUUACAGCUUGUUUAUCUAUCUAUCUAUCUAUCUAUCUAUCUAUCUAUCUAUCUAUCUAUCAUCUACUAUCUAUCACUGAUUAUUGGUUUGUUUGAUUUUUCUUUUUCAAGACAAGUUUUCUCUGUGUAACCUUGGCUCUUCUGGAACUCAUUCUGUAGGCCAGGCUGGCCUCGAGCACAGAGAUCUUCCUGCUUCCUUCUCCCAAGUGCUGGGAUUAAAGGUAUCUACCACCAUCCCAGAGUGAGCUUUAUUAUGUAAAUAAAAACAAAAGGUUAUUUUAGAUAAAGCCAAAUGAGAAAAUUUAAGAAAACCAAGGAAAACAGAAGAAUUAAAGAGAAUAAAGGAAACAAAAAUUCUUCUAUAAAUGAAGUUCAGAAAUGAAAAAAAAUGAUGUCUAGAGUUGGCUUUAGAAAUAGUACACACAUUCAAAAUCUGUUUAUUUUGUCAAAACAGAUAACACAAUGAAAGUUAGGGACGUCUAAAUGCAAACCUGCAGGGUAGAAAGAAACUAACCCCAAAAUAGCACAACACAUAAUCCCUAACUUAAAAGGUAGAAAUACUUAAUUACGUUCUUUCCAAGAAAAAAAAAAUAUGUGAAAAUCAGUAAGAAAUUGAGGUAUAUAAACAUCUGAAACAUUUCAAAAAAUAAUAACUCUAAAUAUAUUGAUAUAGAGUUUUAUGCCUGGGCUUUUAAUGGCUUUCAGGAAUUGUAACAAAUUUUAAAGCUUCAUUAAUUGAUCCAAAACAACACAGUCAGACUUUAGCAUAUCACAUUAUUAAAAGUAUAUGUUAAUAAUCUUUAUGAAUAGGAAAACAGGUUCUAAUACUAUAAACAACGUAUCAGAACAUAUUCUUUGCAAUUUUACUACAUAGUUUCAAUGUUUAUAUGUUUUCAUAGUUUCAUAUGCUUAUUAAUACAUAUUUUUAUNNNNNNNNNNNNNNNNNNNNNNNNNNNNNNNNNNNNNNNNNUCAUUUUGUGAAAAUGAAAAUAAUAGUAAAUAUAUUUAUUUUAAAAGUAUAUCCAGUAUUGAUAAAGUCAAUAAAAAUAUAACAAACAUCUUUUGAGAUUUAAUAAACUUUGUUUUAAAAGAUUUGAACAAAUGAAAUAAAAUGUAUUUCUGGGUAGAAAGGAACACAUUUGGAAAAUUGAAAUAGUAUCUUGUACAUGACACUAACAUUUUUGCCAAAUAAAAAAUCAAAUUCAAAUCCAGCACCCAAAGGAUGUAAAAUGUACUUGAGAAGUCACGUUUUCUACACGUGUAUAAUUUGCAUAUUGGAAAUUUUAAAAUUGAAACAUUCUUUAUUGAGUAACACUAAGGAGUUACCAUUCAAUAGUGUGUAAAUAAAGAGGUUGAUACAUAAAAUUAAAUAUCUACUUAUUGAAGAUUCUUGUGAUUGUCUUAAUCUUAACCUAAUGUAGACCUUAAACAUUACUUCUAAGGAGAGCAGAGUUUUAAGUAUAAUUUGGCAGAAUUAAUAAAAAUCUUAAAUUUAUGAAUGAGCUUUAUAUAAUACAUUUAUAUCAAAGAAUAAGAACUCAAGCAUGUUUAGAAGAUAUAAUUGUGACUAAAUAUUUAUUUCAAAUUUGCNNNNNNNNNNNNNNNNNNNNNNNNNNNNNNNNNNNNNNNNNNNNNNNNNNNNNNNNNNNNNNNNNNNNNNNNNNNNNNNNNNNNNNUUGAGAGAAGAUAUAUAAUAGUUAUGUCACUUAUUACCAAAGGGAAAACAGUCUUGAUUUAUGUUUAACUGGUUUAUUGACAUAUAAUUUCCAUACUGUAAAGCUCAACUACUUUGAGUAUACAAUUCAAUGCUUUUUAUUAUAGUCACUGAGUUGUACAACUGUCAUCAUUCAGCUUAAAUUGGGCGGUAACUUUUAGGUCUUGAGAUAUUUUAUCUUUAGGCAUAUUCUGUUUUAAGUUUCUUUUAUAUGUGGUGUUAGCUACAUCUUAUAUUUGGCUUUAGGGGUUUCCUCCACAUUUAUUGCCAGUGUUUCUUAAGGCACUUUGUUUCCUUCUUUGGCCCACUGAUUACUUAAGUGUUUCUUAAUCUCACAUUUGUGAUAUUUUUUGUUAUAAAUCUCUAACUUAAUGGUGCUACAUUCCCAAAACAUACUGUUUUAUGAAUUCUGUUAUUUUUCAUACAUAGGUGCUGUGGACUUACACAGUAUCUAUUUUUGAUAGUUGAGUAUAUGUGAGUAUCUUUUGCUGUUGGCUUCCACCGUUGUGUUUCUAUAAGUUUUGAUCUUUUACCUAAUUUAUAUAUUUGUUGAAGCAGAGUGGAAACUGAAGUAUUGGAGGCUUGGAUUCUUACAGAAUUGAAUAGUACCCUUCUGUUCAUUCACUCUUGAUUCUCUAUCUUUGGGCUAUGUUGUUUGGUUCAUAUAACAAUAAUUAUUGGUAUCUUCUUGAUAGUUUGAUACGUUAAUGAUUAAAUACAAUUUACUUACUUUUGGUAACCGUGUUUUAUUCUUUUAAAGUUUUGUGAUAUUGAUACAACCACUUAACACUCUUACAGUUGUUCAAAAGAUAUAUAUUCUCACCAUUGACUUAUAUUCGACAAGAUGGUUGUAUGUAUAUGUAUUUGUUUUAAGAGUGUCACUGUAAAUAGUACAAGGUUGGAUAUUGAUUUUCUUCUGCAUUAUUCACUUUGACAUUGUAUUUCUUUUGAUUUCAUAGUUUAAUCCAUUCACAAAUAUUGUAUUAGUGUUCUAUAUGGCUGAAUUUCCUUGAUCUAUUUUGCUAUCUGUUUAUAUCUUGUAUCUGUUUCUAUUCCUUUCUUUCUGUUUCAUUACCUUUUGAAAUAAAGGAAUAAUGCUUUCUUCAAUCAUUUAGUCCAUUUAGGAUAUGUUAACUCCAUACAUUUAUUUUUCAUGUUUGUUUAACUUUCANNNNNNNNNNNNNNNNNNNNNNNNNNNNNNAAUGUUGAAACUUUAUCACUAUACCAACUUUUUCCAUAUCUUUAUUAUAAACUGUAAAUUUAUGUCUAUUAUAAAUAAAUGAAACAUUAUUACUUUAUGUAGAAUAUUUUACCUUUAAAGAAACAAAGAAAAGACAGUGUACUGGCUAGUUUUUUGUCAACUUGACACAGCUGGAGUUAUCACAGAG